UUUUGCGUAGUUUAGAGAGCCUCAUAAAAUAUUCAGUCAACACGACAGUUUUACACUUUUUGAGGUCACAACGAAAAAGUAUACCGAAUUUUAUUUUAUUAACGAUCUAAAUUUUUUGAAAUAAGCAAUGGCUUCUCGGUGUGGACCUCCCCCAAAAAAACCAAUGGGUUCCUUUUUGAUCUGGAUGAGUACUUGCGGGCGAGCAAGAAUAAAAAAAAAAUUCCCUAACUAUAAGGCGACUGAGGUAGCAUCCCUAGGUGGCAAAAUAUGGCGUCAGAUGUCCGAUGAGAAAAAGUCUUUGUGGAAGAAGAAGGCGGCUAAGGCGAGGAGCGAAUACAACCGUCGUCUUAAAGAAUAUCA